UACGUAGGCAGCAAGCGUUGUUCGGAAUUACUGGGCGUAAAGAGUGUGUAGGCGGUGUUCUAAGUUUGUCGUGAAAUCUCCCGGCUUAACUGGGAGGGUGCGGCGAAAACUGGAAUGCUAGAGGAUGGGAGAGGUAAGCGGAAUUCCAGGUGUAGCGGUGAAAUGCGUAGAUAUCUGGAGGAAUACCGGUGGCGAAGGCGGCAUCCUGGACCGGCAUUGACGCUGAUGAGCGAAAGCUAGGGGAGCAAACGGG
rnacentral:rRNA from 1 species